UGGGGGAUAUUGCACAAUGGGCGAAAGCCUGAUGCAGCGACGCCGCGUGGGGGAUGAAGGCCUUCGGGUUGUAAACUUCUUUUGCUCUGAACAAGGCAUGCUAAUGGGUGUGUUGAGUGUAGGGGUUGAUUAGCGCCGGCUAACUACGUGCCAGCAGCCGCGGUAAUACGUAGGGCGCGGGCGUUGUCCGGAAUUAUUGGGGGUAGAGGGCUUGUAGGUGGCUGGUUGCGUCUGUCGUGAAAGCUCAUGGCUUAACUGUGGGUUUGGGGGUGGUAAGGGGUGGAUUUAGUGGAGUGGGGGAGGCUGGAAUUCCUGGUGUAGCGGUGGAAUGCGCAGAUAUCAGGAGGAAUACCGGUGGCGAAGGCGGGUCUCUGGGCUGUUACUGACACUGAGGAGCGAAAGCAUGGGGAGCGAACAGG
rnacentral:rRNA from 1 species